GUAUGUAUUUGUUCAUGUUUUACAAAGGGUUUAACCUGAGCCAGGCCAUACAACAAUGAUAGCAAUCAUGUCACAUCCAUACAGCGUUAGUCAUAUACAGCUGUCACAAUAUAAAAUAU